rnacentral:rRNA from 1 species
UAAUACGGGGGGAGCAAGCGUUGUUCGGAUUUACUGGGCGUAAAGGGCGCGUAGGCGGCCAGCGCAAGUCAGUUGUGAAAUCUCCGGGCUUAACUCGGAAAGGUCAACUGAUACUGCGCGGCUAGAGUGCGGAAGGGGCAACUGGAAUUCUCGGUGUAGCGGUGAAAUGCGUAGAUAUCGAGAGGAACACCUGCGGCGAAGGCGGGUUGCUGGGCCGACACUGACGCUGAUGCGCGAAAGCCAGGGGAGCGAACGG